UUAGAGCGACAUCAUCACAAAGAAAAAGUGGUAAUCCUUCUAACUGAAUUUUUAUACUCAAGAGUUAGUGUCACAAAGUGUUCCCUCUGCUUAAUAUGUAAGUACAUUUUUCAGGAGUUGGUCAGUGGUAAAUGUCUAACAAAUCUUUGGCUGUGAAACAGUAACUUCAUAACAAAUGACACUCUGAUUGUAAUCUGGUGCAUCUGAAACGUUAAUACUUCACACUAUCUUAUAACAUCUUUCUUUCCUUUCUUUUCUUUUCUUUUUUAUGAAAUUUCAUUAUAAUGCUUUAAUAUAUUAAUUUGGAUUUGGAUGCAUCCUUGAGCUAGAGCUUACUUUUAUAAAGAUAAAAGAGCCAGAGAGGAUAUAUAUAUAUAAUGACAGGCUAUGAGGGUGCUACCAUAAGGAACAAGGUAGACUAGUGUUUCUUCUUCUAAAUAAAGAAGCAAAGAAAUUGCUGCAUGUGGGAUACACUAUAGCUCGCAAGAGAAUGCAAAGAAGAAGGGUAUUUGAUCAGGAAUUUAAAUAUGGACCAAAAUACACUAUUAGUCCCUAAACUCUGGUCUGUGAGCAAUUUAGUCCAUGAAGUUAGAGUGAUUGCUUUUGAUCUUCUGUCAACAUCCAUUAAAUCUUUCUCAUGGAACGAUGAUGUGGUCAAACUAAAAACUAACCCGUUAUCGCUAUAUUAGAUACUUAAGAGACAAAAAGCGAUCACGUUAAGCAUCAAGAAAUAAUAGCGAUCACUUUAAUUUUUACUGAACUAAAAGCAAUCAUUCUAAACUUCAAGGAUAAAAAUUGCUAAGGCAUUAAAGUUUAGGGACCAGUUUAUUUUUCCCCUAAAUCUAACAUAAUCAGCUUGUAUUUAUGGAAUAAUAAAUUGUAUUAUGCAAUAGUGCUACAUCUGAUAUAAAAUGAUACUGUACUAUUUACGGGCAACCUUUUAUAUUUUCUUGUCAACAUUAAGGGUGUAUUUAGAUACCGCUUAUUUUGCUGAAAAUUGAAAACAAUAAAAAAAGAAUUUCCAAUUACUGUUCACACUCACAAAACACUGUUCAUUUGCCUUAAUGCACUGCUCAUUUCCCAUGAACAGUGCAAGAGGUGCUGGUCAAAAAAAAAAAAAAAAAAA